UACGUAGGGUGCAAGCGUUGUCCGGAAUUAUUGGGCGUAAAGAGCUCGUAGGCGGUUUGUCGCGUCUGCUGUGAAAUCCCGAGGCUCAACCUCGGGUCUGCAGUGGGUACGGGCAGACUAGAGUGCGGUAGGGGAGAUUGGAACUCCUGGUGUAGCGGUGGAAUGCGCAGAUAUCAGGAAGAACACCGAUGGCGAAGGCAGAUCUCUGGGCCGUAACUGACGCU
rnacentral:rRNA from 1 species